rnacentral:rRNA from 1 species
CAGUAGCCGCGGGAAUACGUAGGGUGCAAGCGUUAAUCGGAAUUACUGGGCGUAAAGCGUGCGCAGGCGGUUUUGUAAGACAGAGGUGAAAUCCCCGGGCUCAACCUGGGAACUGCCUUUGUGACUGCAAGGCUAGAGUACGGCAGAGGGGGAUGGAAUUCCGCGUGUAGCAGUGAAAUGCGUAGAUAUGCGGAGGAACACCGAUGGCGAAGGCAAUCCCCUGGGCCUGUACUGACGCUCAUGCACGAAAGCGUGGGGAGCAAACAGGAUUAGAUAUCCGAGUAGUCCCUGUCUCUUAUAC